rnacentral:rRNA from 1 species
GAUGAACGCUGGCGGCGUGCCUAAUACAUGCAAGUCGAGCGAACGGACGAGAAGCUUGCUUCUCUGAUGUUAGCGGCGGACGGGUGAGUAACACGUGGAUAACCUACCUAUAAGACUGGGAUAACUUCGGGAAACCGUAGCUAAUACCGGAUAAUAUUUUGAACCGCGUGGUUCAAAAGUGAAAGACGGUCUUGCUGUCAUUUAUAGAUGGAUCCGCGCUGCAUUAGCUAGUUGGUAAGGUAACGGCUUACCAAGGCAACGAUGCAUAGCCGACCUGAGAGGGUGAUCGGCCACACUGGAACUGAGACACGGUCCAGACUCCUACGGGAGGCAGCAGUAGGGAAUCUUCCGCAAUGGGCGAAAGCCUGACGGAGCAACGCCGCGUGAGUGAUGAAGGUCUUCGGAUCGUAAAACUCUGUUAUUAGGGAAGAACAUAUGUGUAAGUAACUGUGCACAUCUUGACGGUACCUAAUCAGAAAGCCACGGCUAACUACGUG